UACGUAGGGGGCAAGCGUUGUUCGGAAUUACUGGGCGUAAAGGGCGCGUAGGCGGCAUGGCAAGUCGGGAGUGAAAGGCCUGGGCUCAACCGAGGAACUGCUUUCGAGACUGCCAAGCUAGAGUGCGGAAGGGGCAUCUGGAAUUCCCAGUGUAGCGGUGAAAUGCGCAGAUAUCAGGAGGAACACCGAUUGCGAAGGCAGCUCGCUGGAACGUUACUGACGCUGAGACGCGAAAGCGUGGGGAGCAAACAGG
rnacentral:rRNA from 1 species